GCUUAGGGCCAUACCACCCUGAGAACGCCCGAUCUCGUCUGAUCUCGGAAGCUAAGCAGGGUCGGGCCUGGUUAGUACUUGGAUGGGAGACCGCCUGGGAAUACCAGGUGCUGUAAGCU
ensembl:rRNA 5S_rRNA 5S ribosomal RNA